rnacentral:rRNA from 1 species
UACGUAGGGCGCGAGCGUUGUCCGGAUUUAUUGGGCGUAAAGAGCUCGUAGGCGGCUUGUUGCGUCGACUGUGAAAACCCGCGGCUUAACCGCGGGCUUGCAGUUGAUACGGGCAGGCUAGAGUUCGGUAGGGGAGACUGGAAUUCCUGGUGUAGCGGUGAAAUGCGCAGAUAUCAGGAGGAACACCGGUGGCGAAGGCGGUUCUCUGGGCCUGUACUGACGCUGAGGAGCGAAAGCGUGGGGAGCAAACAGG